AUUGAACGCUGGCGGAAUGCUUUACACAUGCAAGUCGAACGGUAACAGGUCUUCGGAUGCUGACGAGUGGCGAACGGGUGAGUAAUAUAUCGGAACGUGCCCAGUCGUGGGGGAUAACGUAGCGAAAGUUACGCUAAUACCGCAUACGAUCUAUUGAUGAAAGCGGGGGAUCGCAAGACCUCGCGCGAUUGGAGCGGCCGAUAUCAGAUUAGGUAGUUGGUGGGGUAAAGGCUCACCAAGCCAACGAUCUGUAGCUGGUCUGAGAGGACGACCAGCCACACUGGAACUGAGACACGGUCCAGACUCCUACGGGAGGCAGCAGUGGGGAAUUUUGGACAAUGGGCGAAAGCCUGAUCCAGCCAUGCCGCGUGUGUGAAGAAGGUCUUCGGAUUGUAAAGCACUUUAAGUCGGGAGGAAGGGCUGUAGGCUAAUACCUUGCAGUUUUGACGUUACCGACAGAAUAAGCACCGGCUAACUUCGUGCCAGCCGCCGCUGUAA
rnacentral:rRNA from 1 species